rnacentral:tRNA from 1 species
GCCGGGGUGGCGGAAUAGGUAGACGCAAAGGACUUAAAAUCCUUCGGGCUUUUUGCCUGUGCCGGUUCGAGUCCGGCCCUCGGCACCA